GAUGAACGCUGGCGGCGUGCCUAAUACAUGCAAGUCGAGCGCACAGACGAGGAACUUGCUCCUCUGAGGUUAGCGGCGGACGGGUGAGUAACACGUGGAUAACCUACCUUUAAGCCUGGGAUAACUUCUGGAAACCGUAGCUAAUACCGGAUAAUAUCUUGAACCGCAUGGUUCAAGAGUGAAAGACGGUCUUGCUUCCACUUAUAGAUAUAUCCCCGCUUCAUUAGCUAGUUGUGAAGGUAACGGAUUACAAGGCGAACGUACAUAGCCGGCCUGGGAAGGUGGACGGGCACAAUGGGACUGGGACAAGGGCCAAGCUCCUACGGGGAGGAGCAAGAAGGGAAUCUCCGGAAAUGGCCGAAAGCUGGACGGGGAAACGCGGGGGAAGGGAUGAGGGUCUUCGGACCGAAAAACUCUGUUAUUAGGGAGAAAGAUAUUGGUAAGUAACUGCGCACAUCUUGACGGUACCUACUCAGAAAGCCACGGCUAACUACGUG
rnacentral:rRNA from 1 species